GACGAACCGUGCGAACGUUGUUCGGAAUCACUGGGCUUAAAGGGCGCGUAGGCGGCUUGGCAAGUGGAUGGUGAAAUCCCUCGGCUUAACCGAGGAACUGCCGUCCAAACUGCUUUGCUUGAGGCCGGGAGAGGCGAGUGGAAUUCCCAGUGUAGCGGUGAAAUGCGUAGAUAUUGGGAGGAACACCAGUGGCGAAGGCGGCUCGCUGGACCGGUUCGUGACGCUGAUGUGCGAAAGCGUGGGAGCAACGGG
rnacentral:rRNA from 1 species